UGGCUCCAUUGUUCUGAAGCCGCUAUGAAGAUUUUCUGAAGCGUGUCUCCUCCUACAGUUCUUUAGGGAAUCCACACAUUGCUUUUGAACCAGUCAAUCGGAAUCGAAAUGGGUGUUUCAGAAAUGCAUUUGGAGUAACGGCGAGUGCGGCGUCUUCUUCGUUAGUCUCUACGAUCUGCGCGACGGCGAGAAGAGAUUGCUGACGUUUCGGCUGAACACCGGGGCGUGCGAUCGGAUUUCGGCGGUUACGCUUCAGAGAGAGUUUAUGAGAGAGACGACGGUUGCGGAUGGAUGUUGCGACGAACACGUGGCGAAGGAUGUGGGGUUAGGUAAGGCGAUAGAGGAGAUGAUUCCGAGUGGGGAAGGGGAUAAACUGUUUUGGGCGCAUUGGAUGGACGUGCUGGGUUACUCGCUGAAUGCAUUCCGGUUCUCGAAUUUGAGUUUCGUGGAUGGACGCUGAAGACCCGAACCGGAGAUCUCAGGUGGUAAGGAUGAAACUGGAAAAAGAUCAGACUCUUAAACUUGUGGCUGUAAGUGUCUCUCCUUAUUCCAGCAACUUCUAUAGUUGUGUGCGCAGAUUUGCUUACCAUUAUUGCUUAUUAAGCUAGAUUAUAUACUUUACUAUUAAUUUAUUUAAAUAUUUAAUAUUAUAUUGAAAUGAUAAUCUUUUCUGAUAGAUAGUGGUUAUAUAUGAACACUUAUCUCUGCAAUCAAACAGUGUUAUCUAAAUUGUUUGUUAAAUGAUGAAUGGACAAAAUAAGUCCCAAGGCGUUUUCAUAUUUGAUGACAAGGGGUCCGGCUACAGAAGUAAGCUUCAGCUUAGGAACUAAGGAAACCAAAGUUGUGUUUUGUAAUUAUACUAUGUUUUUGGAAUUAUGUUCAUUGGCGUAAGUUGCCGUUAGUCGGUAAGAUUGUACUUGCUUUUUAACCUUUUCCUUAGUGAUUUUCAAAAUUGGUAAAGACCUAUUUAAGUU